AUUCUGCCUUCUACUGCAUCCCUGGUUACGCCUCCUCUGGCUCAGUCGCACAGCUACCUGUUAAAAGAAUAUUGGCAGAGAAACAGCCCUGGUGUUCCAGCAGGAGCCAAGAGGAACAGGAAAACAAAUGGCAGCAUCCAUGAGACAGCCACUUCUGGUGGUUGCCACUCACCUGGAGAUUCAGCAACAGGUAUCCACGGGGAGAGCCCUACAUCAUCUGCUACCCUGAAGGAUCUGGAGAGCCCGUGCCAAGAACUAGCAGUAGUCCCAGACUCGAGGUCCGUAAAAGUCAGUCAACUGAAGAACACCAUCAAAUCUUUGAAACAACAGAAUAAACAAGUGGAACAUCAGCUGGAAGAAGAAAAGAAAGCAAACAACGAGAAACAGAAAGCCGAAAGGGAGCUAGAGGUUCAAAUCCAGAGAUUGAACAUACAGAAAGGGAAACUAAAUACGGACCUGUACCACACGAAACGUUCUCUCAGAUACUUUGAAGGUGGGAAUCUGGGUACCCUGUCAUCCUUCAACCUGGCACUUUGACAGGUCUUCAGGGGGAGUCCUUUGGGCCCCAUCUCAACUCUCUCAUUACAGAAGAGUCCAAGGAUCUG
rnacentral:lncRNA from 1 species